rnacentral:rRNA from 1 species
AUGUUAAUAUCAGUACUUGCUUGGAUUGUGCCACUCGUUUCUGUAAAAAAUAUAAGUUGUGCUAUCACUGCGUUCACCACUAUUUGUGAAUUGAGUGUGUUAUAUGGUUAUUAUACUAUAAUUUCUAUGUUGCUACUAGUAUUUUCAUUCAAAUCUUGGAAACCUUGGAAUUUUGGAGAUUGUUCUGAAGCUCCUCCCACUGAGGCCCCCAGUUUCUCGUUCUUACUACUUAUGAUAUGUUCUUUGGUAUUUAGAUUUUGUGUGCGUUCAUCGUAUUGUCAUGUGAAGCGCAGUUCAUUGUAUUGUCAUGUGAGCAGCAAUGGCCAGCAGAGUUUCACACUCUGCUCCUCACUUAAUGAAAAAACAAAUGCAAACUUCGAUACAUCAAUACCAAAGAUCUUUAAGAGGUACAUUCAUGCCACAGUUUACCACGGAUUCGAUACAAGGUGGACACUUGUGUGCACCAAAUCUAGAUGA